AUUUAAGUCUAACCUGCCCAAUGAGGAGUUAAAUGGCCGCGGUAUUUUGACCGUGCAAAGGUAGCAUAAUCAUUAGUUUUUUAAUUGGAAGCUGGAAUGAAUGGUUGGACGAGAAAGCAACUGUCUCAUUUUAAUUGUGAUUAGAAUUUUAUCUGUGAGUUAAAAAGCUCACAUAAUUUUAAAAGACGAGAAGACCCUAUAGAAUUUUAUAGUUUUGAUGAUGUAUUUUUGUUAGAAUUUUAUAUUUUACAUUAUUAGAACUGUUUCGUUGGGGCGAUGGAAAAAUUUAAUGAACUUUUUUUUAUACUUUUCAUAAAUUUAUGUAUGAAUGAUCCGUUAUUUACGAUUAUAAGAUAAAAUUACCUUAGGGAUAACAGCGUAAUUUUUCUUUAGAGUUCUAAUCGAAAGAAGAGUUUGCGACCUCGAUGUUGGAUUAAAAUUAACUUUUGGUGCAGGAGCUAAAAGGUUAGGUCUGUUCGACCUUUAAAAUUUUACAUGAUCUGAGUUUAAACCGGCGUGAGCCAGGUUGGUUUCUAUCUUUAAAGAAUUUAGGUAUUUUAGUACGAAAGGAUUAAAUACCUAUAAUAAUUAUUAUGUUUUGAAUAUUAAUA
rnacentral:rRNA from 1 species